rnacentral:rRNA from 1 species
GUUGAACGCUGGCGGCAUGCCUAACACAUGCAAGUCGAGCGGAUGAAGGGAGCUUUCUCCUGGAUUCAGCGGCGGACGGGUGAGUAAUGCCUAGGAAGCUGCCUUGUAUUUGGGGAUAACGUCCGGAAACGGGCGCUAAUACCGCAUACGUCCUGAGGGAGAAAGUGGGGGAUCUUCGGACCUCACGCUAUCAGAUGAGCCUAGGUCGGAUUAGCUAGUUGGUGGGGUAAAGGCCUACCAAGGCGACGAUCCGUAACUGGUCUGAGAGGAUGAUCAGUCACACUGGAACUGAGACACGGUCCAGACUCCUACGGGAGGCAGCAGUGGGGAAUAUUGGACAAUGGGCGAAAGCCUGAUGCAGCAAUGCCGCGUGUGUGAAGAAGGUCUUCGGAUUGUAAAGCACUUUAAGUUGGGAGGAAGGGAAGUAAGUUAAUCCCUUGCUGUUUUGACGUUACCAACAGAAUAAGCACCGGCUAACUUCGUG